rnacentral:lncRNA from 1 species
AUGCGGCCCCGCCCCCCCCCCCCAAAUUCCAGAGCGGCCGCGGCCGAAUUUGGGGAGAAACUCUCGGGAUCAGGCGAGGAAAAAUCGGGAAUUUUGGGGGGAUUUUGGGGGAUUUGGGGGGGAUUUGGGGGGAAUUUUAGGGGGAUUUGGGGAAUUUUUGGGGUUUUUUGGGGGAAUUUUGGGGGGAUUUGGGGGAAUUUUGGGGAUUUGGGGAAAAUUUGGUGGAAUUUUGGGGGGAUUUUGGGGGGAUUUGAGGGAAUUUUGGGGAAUUUUGGGGGAUUUUGGGGAAUUUGGGGGGAUUUGGGGAAAAAUUGGGAGGUUUUGGGGGGAUUUUGGGGGGAUUUGGGAAAAAUUUGGGGGAAUUUGGGAAUUUUGGGGGGAUUUGGGGGAAUUUGGGGGGAUUUGGGGGAAUUUGGGGGGGAUUUGCCAAAAAUUUGGGGUGAUUUGGGGGACUUUUGGGGGGAUUUGGGGGGAAUUUGGGGGAAUUUUGGGGGAUUUGGGGGAAUUUUGGGAAGAAUUUGGGCGGGUUUUGGGGGAAUUUGGGGGGAUUUGGAGGAAUUUGGGGGAAUUUUGGGGGAAUUUUGGUGGGAUUUGGGGGAAUUUUGGGGGAUUUUGGGGAAUUUUGGGGGGUUUUGGGGGGAUUGUGGGGGGGAUUUGGGAAUUUUGGGGCUUUGGGGGGAUUUUGGAUUAAUUUUGGGGGGAUUUGAGGGAAUUUUGGGUGGAUUUUUGGGAAUUUUGGGAGGAAUUUGGGGGAAUUUUGGGGAGAUUUGGGGGAAUUUGGGGAAAAAUUGGGAGGAUUUUGGGGGAUUUGGGAAAAUUGGGGGGAUUUUGGGGGGAUUUGGGGGAAUUUGGGGGGAAUUUGGGGGAAUUUUGGGGGUAUUUGGGGGAAUUUGGGUAUUUGGGGGGAUUUGGGGGGAGUUUUUGGGAAUUUGGGGAAUUUUGAGGGGAUUUGGGGAAUUUUGGGGGAUUUUGGGGGGAUUUGGGGAAUUUUUGGGGAUUUUGGGGGAAUUGUGGGGGGGAUUUGGGAAUUUUGGGGCUUUGGGGGGAUUUUGGAUUAAUUUUGGGGGGAUUUGA